GACGAACGCUGGCGGCGUGCUUAACACAUGCCAGUCGAACGGAAAGGCCCUGCUUUUGUGGGGUGCUCGAGUGGCGAACGGGUGAGUAACACGUGAGUAACAUGCCCUUGACUUUGGGAUAACUUCAGGAAACUGGGGCUAAUACCGGAUAGGAGCUCCUGCUGCAUGGUGGGGGUUGGAAAGUUUCGGCGGUUGGGGAUGGACUCGCGGCUUAUCAGCUUGUUGGUGGGGUAGUGGCUUACCAAGGCUUUGACGGGUAGCCGGCCUGAGAGGGUGACCGGCCACAUUGGGACUGAGAUACGGCCCAGACUCCUACGGGAGGCAGCAGUGGGGAAUAUUGCACAAUGGGCGGAAGCCUGAUGCAGCAACGCCGCGUGCGGGAUGACGGCCUUCGGGUUGUAAACCGCUUUCGCCUGUGACGAAGCGUGAGUGACGGUAAUGGGUAAAGAAGCACCGGCUAACUACGUG
rnacentral:rRNA from 1 species